AGAGUUUGAUCCUGGCUCAGGAUGAACGCUAGCGGCAGGCCUAAUACAUGCAAGUCGAGGGGCAGCAUAGUAGCAAUACUGAUGGCGACCGGCGCACGGGUGCGUAACGCGUAUGCAACCUACCUUUUACUGGGGGAUAGCCCGGAGAAAUUCGGAUUAACACCGCAUAAUAAGUAGAACUGGCAUCAGUUUAAUUUUAAAAAUUUAUUGGUAAAAGAUGGGCAUGCGUCCAAUUAGCUAGUUGGUGAGGUAAUGGCUCACCAAGGCGAUGAUUGGUAGGGGUUCUGAGAGGAAGGUCCCCCACACUGGUACUGAGAUACGGACCAGACUCCUACGGGAGGCAGCAGUAGGGAAUAUUGGGCAAUGGGCGAGAGCCUGACCCAGCCGUGCCGCGUGCAGGAUGAAGGCCUUCUGGGUUGUAAACUGCUUUUGAUCGGGAACAAACCGUCCAUGCGUGGAUAUUUGAGUGUACCGAUAGAAUAAGCACCGGCUAACUCCGUGCCAGCAGCCGCGGUAUACGGAGGGUGCAAGCGUUGUCCGGAUUUAUUGGGUUUAAAGGGUGCGUAGGCGGCCCUAUAAGUCAGUGGUGAAAUACUGCAGCUUAACUGUAGCAUUGCCAUUGAUACUGUAGGGCUUGAGUACAGAUGAGGUAGGCGGAAUUGAUGGUGUAGCGGUGAAAUGCAUAGAUACCAUCAAGAACACCGAUUGCGAAGGCAGCUUACUAAGCUGUAACUGACGCUGAGGCACGAAAGCGUGGGGAUCGAACAGGAUUAGAUACUCUGGUAGUCCACGCUGUAAACGAUGAUUACUCGAUGUUCGCGAUAUACAGUGAGCGUCCAAGCG
rnacentral:rRNA from 1 species